GGGGGGAGGGGCUGAGGAGCCGGAUGGGGCCGUGGGUCUGGGUUCAGGAUACCAGCGGUCCUCCCGGGCUUUCCCGGGACGUUGGUCUUGUAGUCCCUCCCCUGCCCUUUCUUUCCCUAUGGCGAUGGCCGCUCUGGCUCUUGAAGGAGGCUUCACUUCCGCGCUUAUCCUUGGAGAGCAGUUUUCAUCCGAUUCGCAGGGGUCCGCGACCUCCUAUCCCAGAUCCCCGCCUGGAGUUGAGGAGUGAGACCGGGAACAAGAAGUCAUCCAACUGGAAUAA
rnacentral:lncRNA from 1 species